rnacentral:rRNA from 1 species
UGCAAGUCGAGCGGACAGAUGGGAGCUUGCUCCCUGAUGUUAGCGGCGGACGGGUGAGAAACACGUGGGUAACCUGCCUGUAAGACUGGGAUAACUCCGGGAAACCGGGGCUAAUACCGGAUGCUUGUUUGAACCGCAUGGUUCAAACAUAAAAGGUGGCUUCGGCUACCACUUACAGAUGGACCCGCGGCGCAUUAGCUAGUUGGUGAGGUAAUGGCUCACCAAGGCGACGAUGCGUAGCCGACCUGAGAGGGUGAUCGGCCACACUGGGACUGAGACACGGCCCAGACUCCUACGGGAGGCAGCAGUAGGGAAUCUUCCGCAAUGGACGAAAGUCUGACGGAGCAACGCCGCGUGAGUGAUGAAGGUUUUCGGAUCGUAAAGCUCUGUUGUUAGGGAAGAACAAGUACCGUUCGAAUAGGGCGGCACCUUGACGGUACCUAACCAGAAAGCCACGGCUAACUACGUGCCAGCAGCCGCGGUAAUACGUAGGUGGCAAGCGUUGUCCGGAAUUAUUGGGCGUAAAGGGCUCGCAGGCGGUUUCUUAAGUCUGAUGUGAAAGCCCCCGGCUCAACCGGGGAGGGUCAUUGGAAACUGGGGAACUUGAGUGCAGAAGAGGAGAGUGGAAUUCCACGUGUAGCGGUGAAAUGCGUAGAGAUGUGGAGGAACACCAGUGGCGAAGGCGACUCUCUGGUCUGUAACUGACGCUGAGGAGCGAAAGCGUGGGGAGCGAACAGGAUUAGAUACCCUGGUAGUCCACGCCGUAAACGAUGAGUGCUAAGUGUUAGGGGGGUUUCCGCCCCUUAGUGCUGCAGCUAAACGCAUUAAGCACUCCGCCUGG